rnacentral:rRNA from 1 species
UGGGGAAUAUUGCACAAUGGACGGAAGUCUGAUGCAGCAACGCCGCGUGCGGGAUGACGGCCUUCGGGUUGUAAACCGCUUUUUCUCAUGACGAAGUUUUUUGACGGUAGUGGGGGAAGAAGCACCGGCUGACUACGUGCCAGCAGCCGCGGUGAUACGUAGGGUGCGAGCGUUGUCCGGAAUUAUUGGGCGUAAAGAGCUUGUAGGCGGUUUGUCGCGUCGAUAGUGCAAACUCAGUGCUUAACGCUGAGCCUGCUGUUGAUACGGGCAGACUAGAGGAAGGUAGGGGAGAAUGGAAUUCCCGGUGGAGCGGUGGAAUGCGCAGAUAUCGGGAGGAACACCGGUGGCGAAGGCGGUUCUCUGGGCCUUUCCUGACGCUGAGAAGCGAAAGCGUGGGGAGCGAACAGG